UACGUAGGGGGCAAGCGUUGUCCGGAAUCAUUGGGCGUAAAGAGCUUGUAGGCGGUUUGUCGCGUCUGCUGUGAAAUCUCGGGGCUCAACCCCGAAACUGCACUUGAUACUGCGGUGCUCGAGUACUGGAGAGGAGAUUGGAAUUUACGGUGUAGCAGUGAAAUGCGUAGAUAUCGUAAGGAAGACCAGUGGCGAAGGCGAAUCUCUGGACAGUUACUGACACUGAGGCUCGAAGGCCAGGGGAGCAAACGGG
rnacentral:rRNA from 1 species